CACCCCUCCUAUUUACUGGCGAACAGUCUGUAAUCCCGGUUGCUGGAUGAUAUCUAUGUGUUUCUGUACGCUCACCAGCUUGCUCCAGUUUCCUGAUGAUCACUUCAGCGUACAAGUUGAAUAAGAAAGCUUCUGCCCAGGGUUCCAACCCAGAAAGAGAAGAGCUCAACUAUUGUCUUUGGUGAAGAAGGAGAGGAAGAGGAAGAGGAAAAGGAAGAAGAAAUAAUGAUAUAUUGUGCAGCUACAAAAUGACAUCAG